rnacentral:rRNA from 1 species
AUUGAACGCUGGCGGAAUGCUUUACACAUGCAAGUCGAGCGGCAGCGCGGGGCAACCUGGCGGCGAGCGGCGAACGGGUGAGUAAUGCAUCGGAACAUGUCCAUGUCGUGGGGGAUAGCCCGGCGAAAGCCGGAUUAAUACCGCAUACGCCCUGAGGGGGAAAGUGGGGACCGCAAGGCCUCACGCGAUUGGGUUGGCCGAUGUCCGAUUAGCUAGUUGGCGGGGUAAGAGCCCACCAAGGCGAUGAUCGGUAGCUGGUCUGAGAGGAUGAUCAGCCACACUGGGACUGAGACACGGCCCAGACUCCUACGGGAGGCAGCAGUGGGGAAUUUUGGACAAUGGGGGAACCCUGAUCCAGCCAUUCCGCGUGAGUGAAGAAGGCCU